AAGCGGAGGAAAAGAAACCAUAUUCAGUGAUUGCCUCAGUAACGGCGAGUGAAGCGGCAAAAGCUCAAAUUUGAAAUCCUUCGGGAAUUGUAUUUUGAAGGUGGGUUUGGUUAGGAAAAGAUACUUUAAGUCCAUUGGAAAAUGGCGCCAUGGAGGGUGAUAGCCCCGUAAAAGUCCCCCUUUUCCUUCUAUCCAUUCCCUCCAAAGAGUCGAGUUGUUUGGGAAUGCAGCUCUAAGUGGGUGGUAAAUUCCAUCUAAAGCUAAAUAUUGGCGAGAGACCGAUAGCGAACAAGUACAGUGAUGGAAAGAUGAAAAGCACUUUGAAAAGAGAGUGAAAAAGUACGUGAAAUUGUUGAAAGGGAAGGGCUUGCAAGCAGACACAACCUCGGUUGGGCCAGCAUCGGAGUGGGGGGAGACAAAAAAGAAAAGGAAUGUAUCUCUUUCGAGUAUUAUAGCCUUCUCUCAUAUCUCCACCCCCUUCCGAGGCCUGCGAUUCUUCAAGGAUGCUGGCGUAAUGGUUGCCAGAUCGCCCGUCUU
rnacentral:rRNA from 1 species